rnacentral:rRNA from 1 species
UACAGAGGGUGCAAACGUUGUCCGGAAUCAUUGGGCGUAAAGCGCGUGUAGGCGGCCCGGUAAGUCCGCUGUGAAAGUCGGGGGCUCAACCCUCGAAAGCCGGUGGAUACUGUCGGGCUCGAGUACGGGAGAGGCGAGUGGAAUUCCUGGUGUAGCGGUGAAAUGCGCAGAUAUCAGGAGGAACACCGAUUGCGAAGGCAGCUCGCUGGAACGUUACUGACGCUGAGACGCGAAAGCGUGGGGAGCAAACAGG